CGGGUAGCUGGACCUCACACCACAACCAUUGUCUCUCUUCACUAGAGGUAGUAGUAGUAGAGCCGUAGCUGCUGGUGCAGAGCAGGCGUUAGAAAUCUUGCUGCUGUGUCAAGAGAAUCGGGAGAAGGCAAGCAUGCGUUCCAUCUAGCUUCUCUAGAUGUCCUGUUCCUUCUCUUUCUUUACUCAUGCCAUGCCGCUGUUGCUAGUACUUCUCUAUAUGGCUAGUCUGUAGCACUAUUCUUGUUGUUAAUUCUUUCACCUCAGCCAGUGUGUCCUUGUACAGUACGCAUGGUGGUUUGGUUCUGCAUGCUAGUUGUGAAAGAUGCAUGCGUCCUAUCUCCCAAGAACUCCUCUAGAUUAAUUUGUCUUUUCUCUCUUUCUAUCUUGUACCACAUGCCUUGUUCUAACUAAGUACGCCUCACUUUUACUUGUUGGACCUGUACACUCGUUAUGCUAAGAAUAGCACAUGCAAGACUAGCUAAUCUUGUGCAGAAGCUAGGGAUGAUAUAUUGGUGAUCUUUUGAGAUAAUAUUUCCUCUUCUAAUGUUCCAGUCCUAAUGAAAAAUCUAACACUAAGGCAUCACGAUGGCAAAAACAUUGUACCGGUCACAGUUUUUCCCUGCUACAUGUGUGCUUGCUGAGUAUGUUAUCAUACUCAUUCUUGCUAUCUUUUUUUUUUGCAGAGAUGAGCAAUGGAAAUGAUGGUGAACAGUAGAAGUAGUACUACGGGAGGGGAUGAAAUAAAGAAACUUGCAUGCAUGUACUAGCAAGAACACUUGUAGUCGUUCCUAUGAUAAUGAAUAAAAAUGAUUCCAGUGUACUACCUUGGUUAACCUGAUGGCCUAACAUGCUUAUAAAUUUGAAUUGAAUUUAUAAGCAUGUGGCAAUUGUCACUGCUAUGUUUUGGGGCGUGACAGAUAGAAGCACUCCAAAAGCUACAUAAUAAAUCAUAGAGGCUGGCCGAACUAAUUGGCGCACUCAAACGAUACAAGAGAGCGGCCCGAUGGACAACUAAGCAAGCAUACACAGCAAGUAAAACUACAUCACCAAUAUUAUGUAAUUAACUGGAAGCUCUUGUUCAUCAUACCAGUACAAAUAUACUAUCUAUAUCUAUACUUUAAUCAUGCAGUCAAUUGAAGUAAAAGCUGGCUCGGCCAGGAAUCAAGCCUAGGAUGUGAAU
rnacentral:lncRNA from 1 species